rnacentral:rRNA from 1 species
GACGAACGCUGGCGGCGUGCUUAACACAUGCAAGUCGAACGGAAAGGCCCUGCUUUUGUGGGGUGCUCGAGUGGCGAACGGGUGAGUAACACGUUAGUAACCUGCCCUUGACUUUGGGAUAACUUCAGGAAACUGGGGCUAAUACCGGAUAGGAGCUCCUGCUGCAUGGUGGGGGUUGGAAAGUUUCGGCGGUUGGGGAUGGACUCGCGGCUUAUCAGCUUGUUGGUGGGGUAGUGGCUUACCAAGGCUUUGACGGGUAGCCGGCCUGAGAGGGUGACCGGCCACAUUGGGACUGAGAGACGGCCCAGACUCCUACGGGAGGCAGCAGUGGGGAAUAUUGCACAAUGGGCGGAAGCCUGAUGCAGCAACGCCGCGUGCGGGAUGACGGCCUUCGGGUUGUAAACCGCUUUCGCCUGUGACGAAGCGUGAGUGACGGUAAUGGGUAAAGAAGCACCGGCUAACUACGUG